AUCAUUGGAGAUUUUGGAUCACUGCAGAUUAUAACCAUUCAAUCGGAAUCGUAACUUGAGAUGUUGUGCUACAAUAUACAUUGUAUUCAAAAAGGAACAAGCUGAUUUAACUCUUCAUGUAAAAUACAAGUGUAUUGAAAUGUUGGAAGCAGAAUGACCGCGCAGAGGAAUCUCACUGCUUUGAAAGAAGACCUCGACGAUUUGAGGAAGAAUGUUACUGCUCAUCUCCAAUCUGCAGCCUUGGAUUACUUCACAACUUGAUGCAUUCAUUAUACACCACCAAACUGAGUUCACUUCAGGAAAGGGAAUCGCCAGUCAACUAUACAAUACUGAGGAAUAAUCAUUCUACUUUCACCAAAUAAGCGCAUUUUUAUUUUAUGAUUUUUGCAUUCAUCUUAUUAUUUUAUGAUUUGUUCAUUUGUAAUAAAAUUUUAUUUUUGGUUUACAUCA
rnacentral:lncRNA from 1 species